rnacentral:rRNA from 1 species
UACGUAGGAUGCAAGCGUUGUCCGGAAUUAUUGGGCGUAAAGAGCGCGCAGGCGGUAUGACAAGUCAGAUGUGAAAGAGGCCGGCUUAACCGGCAAGGGUCAUUUGAAACUGUCAGACUAGAGUGCAGCAGAGGAUAGUGGAAUUCCCGGUGUAGUGGUGAAAUGCGUAGAUAUCGGGAGGAACACCAGUGGCGAAGGCGACUAUCUGGGCUGCGACUGACGCUGAGGCGCGAAGGCUAGGGUAGCAAACAGG